rnacentral:rRNA from 1 species
AGCGAACGCUGGCGGCAGGCUUAACACAUGCAAGUCGAACGGGCACUUCGGUGUCAGUGGCAGACGGGUGAGUAACACGUGGGAACGUACCUCUUGGUUCGGAACAACACAGGGAAACUUGUGCUAAUACCGGAUAAGCCCUUACGGGGAAAGAUUUAUCGUCGAGCGAUCGGCCCGCGUCUGAUUAGCUAGUUGGUGAGGUAAUGGCUAACCAAGGCGACGAUCUGUAGCUGGUCUGAGAGGUUGAUCAGCCACAUUGGGACUGAGACAAGGCCCUAACUCCUACUGGAGGCAGCAGUGGGGAAUAUUGGACAAUGGGGGCAACCCUGAUCCAGCCAUGCCGCGUGAGUGAUGAAGGCCCUAGGGUUGUAAAGCUCUUUUGUGCCGGAAGAUAAUGACGGUACCGCAAGAAUAAGCCCCGGCUAACUUCGUGCCAGCAGCCGCGGUAACAC